rnacentral:misc_RNA from 1 species
AACGCACAUUGCGCCCGCCAGUAUUCUGGCGGGCAUGCCUGUUCGAGCGUCAUUUCAACCAUCAAGCGCCUCGCUUGUGUUGGGGCCCUGCGGCUGCCGCAGGCCCCCAAAUCCAGUGGCGGGCUCGUCGUCGUACCGAGUGCAGUAAACAUCCUCGCUCAGGGAACCCGACGGGUGCCGGCCGCGAAACCCCCCCUCCUUAAGGUUGACCUCGGAUCAGGUAGGAAUACCCGCUGAACUUAA